rnacentral:rRNA from 1 species
UACGGAGGGAGCUAGCGUUAUUCGGAAUUACUGGGCGUAAAGCGCACGUAGGCGGCUUUGUAAGUUAGAGGUGAAAGCCUGGAGCUCAACUCCAGAAUUGCCUUUGAUACUGCAUGGCUUGAAUCCAGGAGAGGUGAGUGGAAUUCCGAGUGUAGAGGUGAAAUUCGUAGAUAUUCGGAAGAACACCAGUGGCGAAGGCGGCUCACUGGACUGGGUAUUGAACGCGUGAGGUGCGAAAAGCGUGGGGAGCAAACAGG